GACAGAGGGUGCAAACGUUGCUCGGAAUUACUGGGCGUAAAGCGCGUGUAGGCUGACCGGAAAGUCGGGCGUGAAAUCCCUGGGCUCAACCCAGGAACUGCACUCGAAACUCCCGGUCUUGAGUGGUGGAGAGGGAAGUGGAAUUCCUGGUGUAGAGGUGAAAUUCGUAGAUAUCAGGAGGAACACCAGUGGCGAAGGCGGCUUCCUGGACACCAACUGACGCUAAGACGCGAAAGCGUGGGGAGCAAACAGG
rnacentral:rRNA from 1 species